rnacentral:rRNA from 1 species
UACAGAGGGUGCAAGCGUUAAUCGGAAUUACUGGGCGUAAAGGGCGCGUAGGUGGUUAAAUAAGUUGCUUGUGAAAUCCCUGGGCUUAACCUAGGAAUUGCAGGCAAGACUGUUUAACUCGAGUACGGUAGAGGGAAGUGGAAUUUCCGGUGUAGCGGUGAAAUGCGUAGAUAUCGGAAGGAACACCAGUGGCGAAGGCGGCUUCCUGGACUGAUACUGACACUGAGGCGCGAGAGCGUGGGGAGCGAACAGG